GGUUCCUUAGAUCGUACCCACAAUUACUUGGAUAAYUGUGGUAAUUCUAGAGCUAAUACAUGCAAACAGAGCUCCGACCGGAGACGGAAGGAGUGCUUUUAUUAGAUCAAAACCAAUCGGUGGCGAGUUCGCUCGUCAUCGUACAAAUUGGUGACUCUGAAUAACUUUACGCUGAUCGCACGGUCAUCGCACCGGCGACGCAUCUUUCAAAUGUCUGCCUUAUCAACUGUCGAUGGUAGGUUCUGCGCCUACCAUGGUUGUAACGGGUAACGGGGAAUC
rnacentral:rRNA from 1 species